AGCAGCCGCGGUAAUUCCAGCUCCAAUAGCGUAUAUUAAAGUUGUUGCAGUUAAAAAGCUCGUAGUUGAAUUUCGGGAUUGACGUGAUGGUCGUGCCUUAAGGGGUAUGAACUGUCGCAGUUGAUUUCUCACCUUCUGGAGAAGCAUGAUGUCCUUAAUUGGGUGUCAUGUGGAACCAGGACCUUUACCUUGAAAAAAUUGAGUGUUUAAAGCAGGCAUUUUGCUCGAAUACAUUAGCAUGGAAUAAUAGAAUAGGACGGCAUGGUUCUAUUUUGUGGUUUCUAGGAUCACCGUAAUGAUUAAUAGGGAUAGUUGGGGGCAUUAGUAUUCAAUUGUCAGAGGUGAAAUUCUUGGAUUUAUUGAAGACUAACUACUGCGAAAGCAUUUGCCAAGGAUGUUUUCAUUAAUCAAGAACGAAGUUAGGGAUCGAAGACGAUCAGAUACCGUGUAGUCUUAACCAUAAACUAUGACCGACUAGGAUCGGAUGAUGUUAAUUUUUAANGUACUACG
rnacentral:rRNA from 1 species